rnacentral:rRNA from 1 species
UUAUGCCUACGGGGGGCGGCAGUGAGGAAUAUUGGUCAAUGGGCGGAAGCCUGAACCAGCCAAGUCGCGUGAGGGAAUAAGGCCCUACGGGUCGUAAACCUCUUUUGCCGGGGAGCAAGGGCCGGGACGCGUCCCGGCUCGGAGAGUACCCGGAGAAAAAGCAUCGGCUAACUCCGUGCCAGCAGCCGCGGUAAUACGGAGGAUGCGAGCGUUAUCCGGAUUUAUUGGGUUUAAAGGGUGCGUAGGCGGGCUUUUAAGUCAGCGGGAAAAAUUCGGGGCUCAACCCCGUCCGGCCGUUGAAACUG